rnacentral:rRNA from 1 species
UUUAAUUGAAGAGUUUGAUCAUGGCUCAGAUUGAACGCUGGCGGCAGGCCUAACACAUGCAAGUCGAGCGGUAACAGGAGAAAGCUUGCUUUCUUGCUGACGAGCGGCGGACGGGUG